AUGACCCUGGACCUGGACUCCAGCAACUGCAAAAAUACAUCACAAAUUUUAGCCACUGCCUUAAUGGAGUCCCUAAUCUGUAACUUUUGGCAGAGACUGUAUUUCCUCCGCAGUGUUUCAUAGUAAGUCCUGCAACAUGCUGAAUAAAAAAUAAUUCAGAUAAGUGACAGAAAAAAUUAAAAUUAGGAUAUGGACCAAAUAAGGGACAUGAAAUGAUUACAAUAACAUAUGAUUACCUUUUAUAGACUCAGAGUCUGCAUCUGCAAAAGACAUCUUUAAUUCCUCUAGCAGAUAAGUAAUCACUGCCUGAUUAUGAGGUGAAUAUAUUCUGUUGUGUGUCAAUAAUUACAUUUAAAAUUAUUACGCAAAAGCCCAUAAAUAGCAUGUAAGAAAAACAGCAGUCUUACCCAGUUUCUGGAUUGAAUUUAUGUGGGUUGUUUUCUGAGUUAUGGAGGCGCCUUACAGCUUCCUGUAACACAGAAUUUAAAAAGCUUUAAUACAUACACACAAACAUGCAUAUGAAAGAAAGAGUUUUCAAACAACAUCGCAUA
rnacentral:lncRNA from 1 species